AAUGAGUACCCAGUGUUUGCUAACAGAUUUGUCUUUUGAUUUGGCAAUAUAUAGUGUUAACGUAUUUUAAGAAUUACAUACAAAUUAAAGACGAUAAAUUUAAUUUAAGCCUUGGUUAAAUCACACAAUCACGGGUCCGUGAAAGCGUGGUGCGUGAUGCGCGAUUUUUCGUAAUAUUCUUUUUUUAUACUAUACACGUCACGUAAAUUACUAAGGCGUUGGACUUCUACAUCGGUAUUCUAGGAUCCAAGACCGUUUCUCCAGCUCCACAGUCAAUAAGAAUCAUACACUCAAGCGGGCAGUUUUUUAAAGAUUUUAUUUGCAAUCUUGAGCCGUUGCAUUAUUUUGGUGGACAUAAAUUCCGGAGUAGUAUUAUAGGAGAACUUACAUUUAUAAUUCAAUUAUGCGGUUGAAAGUCCCUGGAGGGGUUAAAGAACUAAAAAAUUCAAUUGGAUAAUGUACCGCCUCCUUUCUAUCAAUAAUUGUAUCAACUGAAUAGUAUAUUUUUGUCGGUGCAUUAAAUCUUAACAGUCAUUUAUUUUAUUGACUUGCUCGUUAGUUGAUGACAAUAUUGCUCUUUCCUGAAAUUAACUCAAGGUCUUUGUAGAUUUUAAAUUUUUACCAAUUUAGACCAUUUUUGAAUUUGUUCGGUUUGGCUACUUCUGUAUGCUGCAAUAAUACGAUCUAAAGGUUUU